GGACACUUCCGGUUUCACGGCCGUAUUGACUCCCCGGAGUGCCAAUGGCAGCCACACGCUGCGUUCCCUCACCGUAAGGAUAGCGCGGGACUCUCCCGGAACUCUGUGGAAUCUGCGCGUCCUUCCACCGGACGCAGCCAGGAUCGGCUGUGAAGUGGGGCCAGACCGGCCCACUUCGCGUACCAAGGGCUACCGGCUGAAGGGGGCGCGGCCUGGAAAUCUACUAGGUCGAGGGGGCGGGACCUAGUCCCUCUCACCCAAUCAAGAGUAGGCUCUCCCUUAUGUCCCGCCCCAUUCUGGUGGAGCCUCCGCAGAUAGUGUGCGCUAAUUGGCGAAAGCCACUGCUCAUCCCUUGACUGACAUCUCCCUGUUUCUAACCGAAACCUCACUCCUGUUCCGGUCUUUGCUGGAAUGAGAGAAUGCCGAACCAAUGAACUCGCGUCCCCAGUAUUGAGACAACUUCACGCUCUUUUAUUCAAUUAUAGGGGCAGGGCGGAGCGUAUGCUUGACGGACAGCUCUCUUUCCAAUCGGAACGUCGCCCGCAGCCCAGUCAGCCUAUGGGACUCGGAUGCUGAAGCAAGAGGCGGGCUCUGCUGGUGGGACUGACUCUUGGGAUUCUGGACUCCGCCAGCCUGCGAGGGGAGCUUACGGAAACAAAAGCAAGCUGCUUAGGGCUAGUGUGUGCGGGCAACACGAGCGCACCCCACUAGCAAGGAGAGGUUCUGUGGGCCGAGCCAACCAGAUCGGCAGCCUAAUCCAAUAGCGGAGUGGGGGGUGUGGUUGUCAGGGACCGCUGCGUUCUGGUUGGCUGAGAAUUCUGCCGCACCUACCUCCGGGUAUCACCAUUGGCUACUAUGUAUGAUGGGCCAGGGGCAGCAACAGCAGUGAGGAAUCUUGUGAACAGAAGCACCUAGAUGCUCUCUUCCUUAAGGCUGUGGAGCGGGGAUAGGUGUAUCUAGGCGGCCAGAAGUCGCUCCAAACUAAGUGUUGUUCAUUUUGGUUUUGAGUCACAGGCUCCUAAUAACCCAGGCUGGCCUUAAACUCGCGAUCCUCCUCCCUCACCCUCUAUCUGGCCCUAAACCCAAGUCAGAGUAGAUUACAGUGCUGCUCCAGCACCUGCCAUUGCCUUUAGGUUUAGAAUGAGGGUGUGAAUAUCCCUGUUCUGGACGUCCAGGUCCGUUUUUUAGGUCUUUCUGUACAUUGGUCUUUGAGACUGCUUGAAGCCUCGCAGUUUGUGUCUCUGAGUGUUACUAUAUUAUUAUCAGAGAAAAUAGAGUUAAAAUAACAACAACGACGACGACGACAUAAUGACAUAAAGGUCGAGGAUUUCUGUUUUGGAUACAGGGUUUCGGGUACCCCGGGCUGGCUUCUCACUCACCAAGUGGCAAGGAUUACUCUGCUUCCCGCCUCUGUUUCCCCAGUACUUGAAAUAACUGAUGUGCCCUUAACACCAGGUUUGUGUCAUGCUGUGGUGCGAACCCAAGGCUUCAUGUAUUCUGGGCAAGCAUUCUACCUCGUGAGACCCAUCCCUCCGGGCUCCAAGAUCAAGGAGGUGUCAUCAGCCAGGAGACAUAACAUCCCUGAAUAUUUAGAUACUCAAAGACAAAACUUCAAAGUACCUAACUGUCAAAUUGACAAAAACUCAAAGGGAAAAUAGCUCAUGAGGUUAGGUGAUGAUUUCAACAUUCUGUGCUCACUAAAAAUGGCCGAAACUGAUGGCAAAAAAAAAAAUAGAUAAAUAUUUAAAUCUAAAUAUCUAAUAUCUAAAUAAAUAAAUAAGGUUACAGAAGAUAUGAUCAACAGCUGGCAAAUGAAUUGAUAUUUAUUAAAAAAAUUCUGCUCAAUU
rnacentral:lncRNA from 1 species